rnacentral:misc_RNA from 1 species
UGGCUCUGGCAUCGAUGAAGAACGCAGCGAAAUGCGAUAAGUAAUGCGAAUUGCAGAAUUCCAGUGAGUCAUCGAAUCUUUGAACGCACAUUGCGCCCUUUGGUAUUCCGAAGGGCAUGCCUGUUCGAGCGUCAUUAUCACCCCUCGGGCCCCGUGCCCGGUGUUGGACGGCCGGUUCGGGCGACCGAACCCCUCCUAAAGACAAUGACGGCGGCCUGUGGUUCCCCGGCACACUGAGCUUUUCACGAGGCACGUGCUGGAGGGCGCUCAGGACCCCCGGUCUUCUCCUCUCGGCAGGAAACUUCUCAUGGUUGACCUCGGAUCAGGUAGGAAUACGCGCUGA